rnacentral:rRNA from 1 species
UACAGAGGGGGCAAGCGUUGUUCGGAAUUACUGGGCGUAAAGGGCGCGUAGGCGGCCUUCUAAGUCGAACGUGAAAUCCCCGGGCUCAACCCGGGAACUGCGUCCGAUACUGGAAGGCUUGAAUUCGGGAGAGGGAUGCGGAAUUCCAAGUGUAGCGGUGAAAUGCGUAGAGAUUUGGAGGAACACCAGUGGCGAAGGCGACUUUCUGGUCUGUAACUGACACUGAGGCGCGAAAGCGUGGGGAGCGAACAGG